rnacentral:rRNA from 1 species
GACGAACGCUGGCGGCGUGCUUAACACAUGCAAGUCGAACGGAAAGGCCCUGCUUUUGUGGGGUGCUCGAGUGGCGAACGGGUGAGUAACACGUGAGUAACCUGCCCUUGACUUUGGGAUAACUUCAGGAAACUGGGGCUAAUACCGGAUAGGAGCUCCUGCUGCAUGGUGGGGGUUGGAAAGUUUCGGCGGUUGGGGAUGGACUCGCGGCUUAUCAGCUUGUUGGUGGGGUAGUGGCUUACCAAGGCUUUGACGGGUAGCCGGCCUGAGAGGGUGACCGGCCACAUUGGGACUGAGAUACGGCCCAGACUCCUACGGGAGGCAGCAGUGGGGAAUAUUACACAAUGGGCGGAAGCCUGAUGCAGCAACGCCGCGUGCGUGAUGACGGCCUUCGGGUUGUAAACCGCUUUCGCCUGUGACGAAGCGUGAGUGACGGUAAUGGGUAAAGAAGCACCGGCUAACUACGUG